AGCUGUGGAUCACACCGCUGUAGUACCCCAGCCUCUCUACUGCUCCCAGAGCACAUCCACACACUUUGAACCCUGACCUUGAAGCUCUGAUUCCUGAGUCCUAGUUGAAAGGGCCUCGCAACAACCCAUGAGAUCGGUGAUGACUGCCCCCAUUUGCCAGCUUUGCAGGGAGAGGUCAAGACCAAGACGAUCUUCAGGCCCAAGGGAGGCAGGGAGGAGGCUUGCAAAGCCCACCCCUGGGAAGAGAGGAGGAAGCUGAGGCUUGAGCUGGAGCUCAGAAAUGGGGCUGGAGUUCCUCAUCAUUAUCUCAACUACCCUUGCCUGCUGGCCUGGAGGAUGAGGCUGGGACUGAAUUCUGGGCUUGGCCUGUCUCCACUGAGUCUGGCUGGCCGCCCUGCCUGUUGGCAGCUUGGAGUGUGGGUGUCGAGCUGGGCAUCUGGUGGGCUGGCUGGAGCUGGAAGACCCUGGGAAAGAUGAGGCCUCGCAACAACCCACGAGAUCUGUGAUGACUGCCCCCAUUUGCCAGAUGAGAAGCUGAGGCUCGGAGAUAUUGAGGAAUCUGUCGAGCGUGGUAGGGAGGGGAUGUGGGAGUCAAAUCUGGGUCAGAAUGGCUUUAAGACAUUUUCUUUGCCUUGGGCCACAGCUGCCUCUUCCUUGUUUAUGUUGUGGUUUUGGAGGAGGUAAAGGGACCCCAUCACUUCAAGUCCCUCCUCUGGGAAGGAGACCUCGUUCCUAGGUCCUUACUCUGUAGCUACUCAAUCAGGCCAGGGCCUCAGCUGGACCCUCAAGUGGCUGUUUUCACCUCAUGGGACUCCACAUGGGUAUAUGACAUUCCCUUUCCACUGCCUUGCAAUUAGAUGUGGGAGGCCUGGGCGGUUGA
rnacentral:lncRNA from 10 species